GCCUUCACUACUGAAAAAUGAAGGUGGGUGUAAGAGCUCUGAUGAACCUGUUUGGACAACAGACAGCAAAAAAAUACCUGUCUCGGUGGAGGAGUUUAAGAGCACUGCAGAGAUCAUCAGACAGUGCAGAAUAUCUUGGCUCACACAGGCCAUUCUCUUUAUCUCAAAACAAUACCAGCCAAGCUUCUCUGUACCUAAAACUGAAGAGCUGCGGGAGCAGGAGGACAGUAACUAAUACAGCUUUUAAAUUUGAAUCUCCUUGUCUUACUAAGAAAAAUAAAAAGAAAAAAAGAAAAAAAAAUACAUGAAUUCAAAGCAAGAUAAGAUAUCUGAUUCCAAGGAAGAAAGCUAUCCACAGCAGGUUGAAGCUACAGGGGCAGUCCUGACUUGUUUUUCUCCAUCAAGCUACUUUACUUCAGAAAGUGGACCUUCAAAAACAGCAAUUCCCAUGGAUCAGUGCUUAAAACGGUGUCAGGGUCUUGCUGAGCCGCUGUUGACCCCCUGGGCAGCAAGGUCGUGCCGAGCAGGACUGCAGUGAACCUCUCCCCAUGUCUCAGUGGAGCCCAGUGCUGAGUGUGGAAAACCCUCCGGGGGGGGCAUAACACAGUGGAUGAUUGAUUGUACCCGCCAGCUGGCUAAUAUCAUAAUUAACAAAGUUGCUACCAUGUCUGAGAAGUUUAAUCGAAAAAAUUGCCGGCAGUAUGAUGCCAUUGUCACAGAGAUCAGAAGCGCUGCAGUGUUGACUUUUGUACUGGUGGAGCCGCAGGACUAUGUAGAUGUGCUGAGAAGUCUUUCGCUAGGAUAACUAAAGGUAUGUU